rnacentral:miRNA from 1 species
ACCAUCUGAUUUGGACACGCA